UGAAUAAUAAUACACGCAAGCGCUCGCUGAAUCAAAUCUGUUUGUCUUUAAGGUGCCACAAUUCAUGGUUAAUUAGUUGAUUGACUGAUUGACUGAUUGAUUGGUUUCCUCAAGAGUUGGCUGCAGGGGCCUGGGGGGCAGAGAGAAGCCUUCUCUUCAUGGGGGCGCAGAGCGCAUUCUCCCUAGAAAGGGCCUCCUCCCUUCGCGUCCAGGUCGCAAACCGGGGACAUGAGGGGUCGGGGCGCUCUCUCUGUUCUGGCGCGGGAGAGGGUCCGGGACCAGCAGUUUCACGUCCCGGGGGUCCCGCCCAGAACACGGAGGCGUCCCUCCCUUUGGGGGCACCGACGGGAACAAGGGAUUUCGGUAAAGCCGACGGGGCUUGCGCCCUCCGGGUGGGUCGGUGGGUCUCCGGCGAGAGCCCAGGGGAGCCCAGGGCGGAAAGAACCUGAGGCCUGAUUUCCCCCCAGCCCCCCCCCAAGCCAGGGGAGGGGAGGGGAGGGGGAGGGCUGGGCUCCACCUCGGGCACCCAGGCGCGCGCCUUGCCCUGGGCCCGAUUCCUGCCACCGCGAGCCGGCUUGGAGAGGAGCGAGGACCACCCCGCCGCCGCCGCCGCCGCCUCGGCCUCGCUUCCCUCGGGCCCCGGGGCCAACGGGCCAGCUGAUGCCUAGCUGAUGGCCGGCCAGCUCGCGCGGCGUCGGGGGUUGCAUCCUGACCCGGAGAGGCCAGGGGAGAAGGUUCCGCCGCAGCCGCUGGGGCCGCCGCCCCCCCCCGGGGGGCUCUUCCCUCCGCGGGGCCCGGAGAGCCGCGGGCACCUGGAAUUCCGCGGCCCGGGUGGUCCCCCCUCUCGCCUCUCCACCGGGCAGCAUCGCGGGGCUGGUCACGGCGGGGCAGGAUGUCACUCCUGGAGGCGGUUGCCUAGCAACCCUCUCCGGCCGAUGCAGAGGCGAUCAGCUGGCGAGGAACGAUGGAGGGGGGGCAGCGCUUUUCUAACAACGUGUUGUAAUUGCGGAAAUUUUUAUAUAUGCAACCAAAUUUGAAAUAAUCACAAGGAAAUAUUUAUGGAUGUAAAGUGAUGGCUGUGGCUAUGUUUUUGUUCGGAAUGGCCAUGUUGUGUGUUUGCGUGGGUGUGAAAGAGAGGGUGCGUGAGAGUGCAUGUCCCUUGUUUCUUGAUUCACAUGGUUGUCACCUGACACACAGCAAUCGGAUCUGAUUUUGGAAACUAAGCAGGGGCAGGCGUGGUUAUUACCUGGAUGGGACACAACACUGAGGGAGACAGACCUGGAUUUGGGGGUAAGACCGCAUCCUACGUUCUCCAGAAAGCUCCCCAACACUUGAGGCCUCGCUCCUUGAGCUGCAGAAGUAGAAAAGAGAGACAUACCCAGAAAUAAAGAUCCACAACUGUUGUUGACCA
rnacentral:lncRNA from 1 species